CUUUGUGCUCCGACCCCACCCUAAAGCCCGAGGGUGGUGGCUCUUCAACCCCCGGAAGGGUCUUUCCUUUAUCACCGGUCUUCCAUCGUCCAUUCAUGGGUGGAAGAACCAAUUCUUCUUUGUUUCUUCUCCAUCUUCUUGGGGCUUUCCUUCUCACUGGGGCGUGCCCCGAACCGAAGCCAAUGACAACAGUCGGGUGGAAGCGGACGACCGGGAGGACUUCCACCGACUGAAAGAUAUGUCGGUCCCGAAGCAGAGGGAGCUUGUUACCGAACAAGCUCUCUAUGACGCCGACGUAAGCUUGGUCCCCCGACUAGGUAUCGUCCGAUUUUUCGGUCUCCUUUUCAUC
rnacentral:lncRNA from 1 species